rnacentral:misc_RNA from 1 species
UUUCGACAGUUAACAGUUUUUUCGCUAAUAAGAAUGUAAUAAAAAUAACUGGUUAUGUUACCAGCCAUUUUUCUUACAAAGUAACACGGUAGCUUAUCAUUUCUUACGAAACAGAUAACAAGAACGAUUUUAAUUUGAUACAUCUUUCCAUAUUACAUAUUUUGUUAAACUUACGAUCGAGGUAAACAUUUCUUACGAUAUCGAGAAAAAUUUGAUUUCGCUGAUUCAUGAGUAAUCACCUGCACUGUAAAGGCAUGACAUUGUGUACCGCGGAAUAUUACAGAAACGCGAUUGUAUGACACACCCUUUAUAGAAAGGAAGAGAGAGUGACAAAUGUUAGCACGAGCGGUCAGUGUGGGAGUGUCGCCGGACAUGACGGAACAUUGGAUCGACGGAUGAAUGGAAACACAUGUGUGGGUGCAUCCUUUCUCGAACCAAAAACAUAAAAUUUUGAAAUUUUAAAGAUAAGACAAAUCAACACCAAGUAUACGAGCGUAGGGUUAACAAA